UUUACCUUCAACAUCCCCAAUUUAGUUUUCGUAUCCAUUCACUCGUUCAAAAACUAAUAUCCAUGAUGUAUAUACAAAGGCGGCGCUAUAGGCCUCCUUCAAUAUGGGUGGGUAGGGGGGGGGUGAGGUAUAGUUUUACCGAGUCAUUAGUUUUGGCUGUAUUAGUCUAUGUUAGACUCUAUAUGGGUGGGGGUACAGGGGCAUGCUCCUCCGGAAGCAUUUUGAAGUCUAGAGUCUCUGAAAUGCAUGUUUACAAUACUUCAACGAAUCUGAUCUUAACUACCCACAACAACUGUUCCCAGCCAUGUCCACUGUCAAAAACCAACUCAUUUGCAUUUAUAUUGGCUGUUGGGCUGUUUUGAGUUUUUAAAUUAGCUACCAAUCAGUUUAAAUCACCGGACUUUUUGAAGUAUUAAGUAGUAUAUUUAAAUUCACGGUUUGGUUUUAAUUCAGAUAAUUCAAUUCGGUCCAUAUCUAAACAGCUCAAUUUUUGCCGAAUUUGCCGACUCAUUCAUGAAUGUAGGGGAGGGGGUGUUUCAUCCUCCCA